rnacentral:rRNA from 1 species
AAUCAACGCUGGCGGCGCGCCUAACACAUGCAAGUCGCACGAGAAAGGCUCCUUCGGGGGCUGAGUACAGUGGCGCACGGGUGAGUAACACGUGGAUACCUGCCCUCAAGUGGGGAAUAA